UACGUAGGGCGCAAGCGUUGUCCGGAAUUAUUGGGCGUAAAGAGCUCGUAGGCGGUUUGUCGCGUCUGUCGUGAAAGCUUGGGGCUUAACCCCAAGUCUGCGGUGGAUACGGGCAGACUAGAGGCAGGUAGGGGAGAACGGAAUUCCCGGUGUAGCGGUGAAAUGCGUAGAGAUCGGGAGGAACACCCGUGGCGAAGGCGGCUCACUGGGCUGACCUUGACGCUGAGGCGCGAAGGCGUGGGGAGCGAACAGG
rnacentral:rRNA from 1 species